CAAUACUAUUUUAUCUAACAAUACUGACGUGAAUGAAACAUCCAAAUUUCAGUAGCUGAGCGCAAACCAAUAGAAUAAUUAAGUACUGAGAAGGAACCCAGAAAUAAAUUGAAAUACUAAUUAACAACACAAAGGUAAAAUCUUGUUCCUUUUGCAUAAUGAUUUAAUUAGUGCAUCCUAAUAGCCUAUCCAGGGCCCCCGAAAUUAAAUGAUCUACUCUAGGCCAAGUAUGAAUGACUUUACUAAUUUAUGUUGCAAUAUAAUUAGGAGAGCUUAGAGUAGAUGUGACAUGCUAAUCGCAUUUAGUUCUAGCUGGUUACUCAAGAAAUGAAUAUGAGUUCAGGUGAAAUACUGAUUUCACUCAGAUGACCCGGAAUAUGCUGGUUCAUCCACUUAUAAACAAAUAACAUCUACAAAUAAGUCUUACUGCAUUCUCUGUAGGCUUAAAAGCAGCCAUCAGGUAACAAUAGCGUUAAAGCUUAGACCCUCCUACAUGGACCAAUUCUUAGUCAGGUAUUGAGUAAUCUCAAAUUAAGACAUUUUCUGUUAAAAUGCGUAGAUCUGACAACACCUUAAUAUAAGUGUGCAUAAACGUUAAACUUACUUACACUUGCGCCCAAGAGUGCAUAAAUGUCUGCCUAACAAGAGCAUAUCAUAAAGGUCACUAUUCAAGAGAAAGGAACUCGGCAAACAUUAAGCUCGCCUGUUUACCAAAAACAUCGCUUCCAGCAAAUAAUUGGAAGUCUUAUCUGCCCGGUGUAUUAUUAACGGCUGCGGUAUCCUGACUGUGCUAAGGUAGCAUAAUCACUUGCCCUUUAAAUGGGGGAAUGUAUGAAUGACUAUACGAAGUUUAAGCUGUCUCUCUCUUAAAAUAUUUAGAUUUCACCGCCUGUGAAAAUGCGGGCAAGCAGCUAAAGGACGAGAAGACCCUAUUGAGCUUGCAAGCGGAACAGAAAUGCAUAUUAAUUUUCACACUUUAUAAAAUAAGCAUUCAUGAUAAACCUUUUGGCUGGGGUGGCAUGCAAAGAUAUUAAGCUUUGUAUAAUCAUUUUAAGUGUGAGAUCUUAUAGGUCAACCGCUUCUUUAAAUGGAUCCGCCACGGGCGAUUAGAAGACUAAGUUACCAUAGGGAUAACAGCGUAAUUCUUUUUAAGAGCUCAAAUUGACAAAAGAGUUUGCGACCUCGAUGUUGGAUCAAGACUCCUGGUGGUGCAACCGUUACCUAAGGUUUGCCUGUUCGGCGAUUAAAAUCUUACGUGAUCUGAGUUCAGACCGUCGUAAGACAGGUUAGAUUCUAUCCUUUAAUUGAUGCAUUCAGUACGAAAGGACCAAAGUCAUCUGAUUUUAAGUUUAUACUUAAUCAUC
rnacentral:rRNA from 1 species